rnacentral:lncRNA from 1 species
UUAUCUGUUCUGAUUGCAUACUGGCUUCUUUCAGUUUAUUAUCUAUUGACUCUUUGCAUUUCUUCUCUGAUAAUUUCUUCCAGUUCCUAGCACUGAAUUUUCUAGUUUAUUCUCCAAAUUUGAAUGUGGGUUAGAAGUCUAUUAGACUUUGGCAUAGGAGAUAAAUACAGUCUAACCCAGAAAUCUACCUGUGUUUGGAAUUUUACUAUAUGAUCAAAUUUAUUGAUCAAGUAAUUACCUGUCUGAUAGAAUAAUAAAUAGUGCAUCUAUUCAGAUUCUGGUUAUAUGUUACUUUUCUCCCUAACUUUUAAUUUCUAAGUUUUGUUCUGAUUUGUAGAAGAAAGAGACAAUCUGUAUCUAGUAAAGACAAAUUAGAAAUUAUAGGGAGGAAAAAUGCCAAUAAUUCCACCACCAGCUUUCAGCAUUCAUUAGCAUUUUAUUUCACUGCUUUCCUGGUUUUUUUCUAUGUGUCUUUAUGUACAUAUAUUUCAUAAUGGAAAAUGAAGUGUAUGCAGGAUUUUUUUAGUCUUGGUUUUUUAUUUGCAUUUAUUUUUAAAAUAUUUUACUAUUUUAUGUAUUUUGUUUUAAUGAUUUCACAGUAUUUUUUAAUUUAAAUGUACUACAAUCAAUCUAAAUAGUACCCUAUUAGAUACCAUGUGUGUGCAUAUGUGUGUGUGUGCUGUUUGUUUUAUAAAUGUUUGCUAAUUUACUAUUACAAGUUUUCUAUUACAAAUGGGGUGGGAUUUUAUCAACAAGUGUCCAGAAAGUUAUUCUAGAUGUCUUUCCCUGUUUCCCUCUCUCACUUUUACUCAGGCUGUUUUCUCCACCUCAGACUAUGCUGAAGGGUAAAACAGUGAUUCGAUAUGUACAACCUUGAAAUAAAGGACAUAUUUUCAGGGUUCUUUCCCCUCCACACAAUAGCUAUGUAAAAUAGAGAAAGGAGAAGAAGCAAAGUGGUGGUUCAACUGCAAGAGAUAAGGACGACAGGCUAAAGGGACAGAGGGUACACUAAUUGGGAAGAGAAAAGGAAAACUGUUCUUGAUGGAGAACUGGGAAGCUGAGCGGAAGGACUCAUAGACAAGCAGUCCUAGGGGGAAGUUCAACAGGUCUGGGAUCUUCAAGCUUUUGAGAUUUGAGAGCAGGGACUUAGAUCUGCUGAGGGGUGGGGUGGAGGUGAAGGUGCUACGAAAGGUAAGCCUCUCACCUUGACCUGGGCAAAACUGAAUAUUUUUCUGGGAGUGAGGCAUCAGUUGACCCAUUGUCAUCAUUACAGUGUACAUAUGCAUUUUUUAAUUUCUAAAAUUACAUUGGUUCACUCUCCUCAAAUGGUAUUUCCUCAGGGUCAAAGGUAACAAGCAUUUUAGAAGGCUGAACUGUAUUACCAAAGUACUUUCCAGAAAGGUGGUAACAAUUUACUUUCCCACUGUGAAUAUUAUACUUUGAUGCCUAUUUAUAAGUUAUUUGAGACUAUUUUAACCACUUGAACUAUUUUAGCAAAAAUUAAUUUUUAUGCCUGCUUAUAUUCAUGUGAAUUUGAAAUAAAUAUAAUGAAUAAUGAGAGGAAAAUCAUUAUUUUUUCCCCUAUGUUAUAUUGCAGAUAAGUUUCCAUAAAACUGAGAUGAUGACUUCACUUGCAAAAGACAUUUGAUAUAGCAACUGUAGCCAUAUGUUCUAAAUAUAACAGAUUACUGCCAGGUGCCCAAGUUAAGGAACACUGUAUUGCAUAAGUUGAAAGAACAUUUGAAAAACGUGUUUAAAUUUCAGAUAGUUGAUAUUGCAGACAUGUUCAUAUUUCACUGACAGAAAAAUAGGAAAAUAUAUAGCCCAAUGUUUGGGGUAAAUCAGUUUGGUGGGAUACCAAGUCAUAUUAAAAUCUGAUCCUAUACAUAAAAAAGUAUAUUCAAUUUAAUCAGUAUCCCCUGAAGAAGUCCUUGUUGGGGAAGAGGACCAGAGUCUAUGUGCAGAUAGAGAAUAGGAUGAGGAAAACUUAUUUGGUCUAAUAUUUAAGGAAGCAUCAUAUACAUGGCCUCUUAGGAACUCACUUAUGACUGUGAGUAGAUUGUGAAGAGAUCAGUGCUUCUGCUGAUCCUAUUUUCAUUUAAAAUUCUGAUAAUUUGCUAAUCCUGGGAACUAUGUCUAGUCACUUAUGAUGGAGCAUGAUAAUGUGAGAAAAUAGAAUGUGUACAUGUAUGUGUAACUGGGUCACUAUGCUGUACAGUAGAAAAAGUAUUGGAGAAAUAACAAUUUAAAAAUAAAAAUUGUUUAAAUUAAAAGAAAAAUAAAACAACAAAACCUAAGAAACUCAAGUAUGGUUAAUAAGAGAAUUUGGUAACACAAUUGGACAAGAAUAAAUAUUUAAAAAUAAAAAUAAAAUAAAAUUCUGAUAUUUUGCCCACCAUUAACUUUUUGGUAUUAAUUUUGAUUUUUAAAUUUGUUUUAUUAAAAUAUUAUUUAUGUUGAUUACUGAAGGGUAUUGCAUUCCUCAAAGUCUGAACUGGAGGUGAGUGACAUACUUGCCUUCCUCUUGACUUAAUGUUCUUGCCCCAACUACUCUCUUCUCCCCUUCUCUACUCAAGAGUGCAGCAUACUAAUGCUACUACCAAAAAAAUCAUAAGUUUCUACUAUAUUCUCCAACCAGACCUUUCCUCCAUGGCUAUUUUUCAUGCUUCCAAAGGCUUUCAUCUUUCUUACCUCACCACCUCCAAAACAAGUCUUAAAUAUACUCUAUUCCUUGGUGUUCUCCUCUCAGUUGCUUGUAAAGGAGAUAAUAGAUAAUCUAUUAUGGCACAUGAAUGUUGAAGGGUAAUUAUAUUAUUAUUCUUAAAUAUAUGUGUAUGUUUAUCAAGAAUCCACCUAAAGAUAAAUCUCUUCCCAUUAAUUUACUCUAAAAAUAUAUAUUCUUCUGUGCUAGAGAAAUAGCUGUAAGCAAGACAGACAAGAUUCUUGCCUGUGGAAUUUACAUUAUGCCAGAUACAUAAAGAUAUAAUCGGGAAUGGUGACAUCAUACACCUUGGCAAAUAAUGAGGAAGCAGUAUUUGGUAAUGAUAACAAGCAUGUUGAUACCAGAAACAGGACCUAAAAAAAAAAUCUUGAAAAAAUAGAGUUGUUUGACUUAAAUUAAGUUGACAUUGAAUAGAGGAGAUGUAAAGUGUUGAAUUUGAGUUUCAAUAAUUAUAAGUACAGAGGAGAAGCUGUAGUUUAGUCAUAGUUUAUGUGAGAAAACAUUAGGGUUCGCUUGAGAGAAACUCAGUGUGAAUCGACAGGUAGAAGUGGCUCCCCUGGCCACACCACUAAUUCAGUACCUAUCAUGAAGGUAGGUGUUUCAGGUUUGUUGUGUUGGGAGUUCUAAGACCACCCUUAAGUUUGAUGGACUCAUGGGAGUCCUUGAAGGACUCAUAGGAGUUCCUGUUGUGGCUCAUUGGGUUAAUAACCCAACAGAGUAUCCAUGAGGAUGUGAAUUUGAUCCCUGGCCUUGCUUAGUGGGUUAUGGACCCCUAAGUCACAGAUAUGGCUUGGAUCUGGCAUUGCAGCUGUGGUGUAGGCCAGCAGCUGCAGCUCCAAUUUGACCC